ACUAGCGCGUCAGUGAAGUGAACCUCACGCACUCCACACCACACAUACUCGCACCAUCCGCAUUCAAACGCACACGCACUUCCCUUCUUCACGUUUGCCAUCAUCCAGCCCUCAGAGGAAGCGAUGUCAGGACUUGAUCCCACUGGCUUGUACUGAAUCAACUCGUUCCGCAGCCAAUCACACGUGAUUUAUCAUCGUACAGACGACUUUUGACAACUUUAAGAGACAUCACUCUUCUCACACUCUUACACUUCAUCAUGGACGGCGGCAAGAAGAUCCUCGACCCCACCGGGCAGUACUGAGUACUGAUAAAGUGCGCAAUCACAACAAUCGAUCUGCAAAUCGGCGAAUCCGGAGUUGAUUUCGGUCAACUUUUUAAUUCAAAACAAAAAAUAUCCAAACCAACAAGACAAGAUGAACGGCGGCAAGGCCCUCGAUCCCACCGGGUUGUACUAGAUGUGGCAUCGUGUCGGCGGCGACGGCGGUCGCAGGGAGACAUCAAGUUGUAGACGAAGAAGACUCUGAACACAAUGGGGACGAAAAAAAAGAAAAAGAAACAAAAAACGAGCCACACGAGCGAAAACACUGCCACUUAGUUACCCAUCCCAUUGAUACAUGGAUGCGUUAAGACUGAUUGUUGUUUUUUAUUAUUAUUAUUAUUAUUAAUUAUUAAACAUAUUUUGUUAUAUUAAAUUAUAUAUUUAGCUGUAAGUAUCUUCUUUCUGUCUCGCAAAACUCGAAAUCCGAAAAAAUCGAUUCAUUCAAUUACUUAUUUUAUUUAAAAUCAGAAAUUUAUAAACAUUUAUAAACAAUUUGUGUAAUUUUUUGUAGUUUCUGUAAUUUUUGGUCAUUUCUGUAUGUUGUUUGUACUUGUAAUGUGCAUUAAGUCUUAUUAUUCUUAUCUUCGAGCAGAUAUGAAAUAUAUUUUUUAAUUAAAA